rnacentral:rRNA from 1 species
CAACACCCGAAGUCGGUGAGGUAACCUUUUUGGAGCCAGCCGCCGAAGGUGGGGCCAAUGAUUGGGGUGAAGUCGUAACAAGGUAGCCGUAUCGGAAGGUGCGGCUGGAUCACCUCCUUUCUAAGGAA